AAGUCGUAACAAGGUUUCCGUAGGUGAACCUGCGGAAGGAUCAUUACUGGGUCAAAGGGCGCUCCGGCGCCCGACACCAACCCUUUGCUUGUGGCAUUACCUUCGGCGCCGAAGGGGGUCUGACUGGAAUCCACGAAGGCCCUCGCCGAACGCAACUCUGAACAACGAUGCAGCCUGAAGUAAAAAGCAAAUAGUUAAAA
rnacentral:misc_RNA from 1 species